AAGACUAUACUUUCAGGGAUCAUUUCUAUAGUUUGUAACUAGAGAAGUGUGGUUGAAAGUGUCUGGUCUCGCUAACCACGAGGAGGAGUUAAAGUGUUCUCUUCUGAGCGCGAAGCGAGUAGACAGUGUUGCUUUAAUGCAGCUGCUGUCUGCUAUUGAUGACCGUUCCUUCUUUCCAUUUGGGAAGCUGGGAGGGAGAGAACACAGGCUGAGUGGUU
ensembl:snoRNA